UACGUAGGGGGCAAGCGUUGUCCGGAAUCAUUGGGCGUAAAGCGCGUGUAGGCGGUUCGGUAAGUCCGCUGUGAAAGUCGGGGGCUCAACCCUCGGAUGCCGGUGGAUACUGUCGGGCUCGAGUCCGGAAGAGGCGAGUGGAAUUCCUGGUGUAGCGGUGAAAUGCGCAGAUAUCUGGAGGAACACCGGUGGCGAAGGCGGCAUCCUGGACCAAUAUUGACGCUGAGGAGCGAAAGCCAGGGGAGCAAACGGG
rnacentral:rRNA from 1 species